CUGUACCCAUCUCAACAGUAGCAUCAGAGUCGGCAUUUAGCACUGGAGGACGAGUACUCGAUCCAUUUAGGAGUUCAUUGGGUUCUAAAGUUGUGGAAAUUCUUAUUUGUGGUCAAGAUUGGCUUCGCAAGUCCUCUAAUCCAGUUAAUGUUGAGGAACUUCUUUCGGAUGUUGAAAAAAUGGAAGAAGGUAUGCAAAAAUUAUCAUUGCAAGCUCCAACAAAUUAAUCAAUCUCCAUUAUUUGUUGGAACUUGGAAGGGAAGCUUCGUGAAGAUGGAUGAUUUACAUUGACUAUUAUGUUAUGUAAACAUUGAACUUAGAAUUGUUUUUUUUUUUUUGUUGAUGAACAAUUUGUUAUUUGGUGAUGAUUUGAUGGACUUCUUGAUGCUUUUUUUUUGUUUGGAAUGAAUGGAUGUUGGCUUAUUCUAA